CUGAAAAAACGACACACGUGUGCGUGGAGAGACAUUAAGAAGUGUUCUUGACACACUUAUCUCAAGCAACAAAAUGAAAUCCCGGAGAGGAUCAAAGUCCUGGAGAAUAUAAAGAGCACGAAGGAGAGGUUUCCAGGGAGGAAAAAAAUCAUGUGCCCCCAAGUGAACGGGUAGAGGAUAAUUCAAUGUGGUCUACAAAGAUAUUUCCUGUCCAAAAAACA